AACAAAAGAAGUAUGAUAUUUAUAAAUUAUCUGAAACAGAUAUUUGCCAGAAAAAUCCAUUACUGUAAUAAAUCAUCAUCUACAUGAAUAAUUUAAUUUGUGUAUAUGAAUGAGGAUAUUUGUUUGGACGUUUAUUCACCAUGCACGCCUAUGCCGUUCGGCCAAUUGUUACGAAACUCUGAAGUUACGUUCAAAUACAUCAAACUUGGAUAAUGUCAUACAUCCCACCCAAAAUUUCCGAUUGGAUUUCUACAUAUUGAUUAAUUUCUGUCAACAUUUGAUUGCUGGCUCUACAUGUAGCACCAUCUAUUAGGAAAAAUUUAACAAAAUAAUUAAUAGAAUUUAUAUGGUGUAAGGCCAAGUUCAGUGUUGAAGACAGCUGUUCAUUAUAUUGAUUCAAGUUAUAAUAUCCAACGACAAAUCCAUAGCCAGCUGUUCUAUAAAAAAUAAAAUUGACAAUAAAGUACAAGACCUGUCCUCACAAAAUCAUAGAAUAAUUAUAGCUAUACAGCUUUUUUAUUCAAGUAUUAACGAUGUUCCAAAUAUAAUACUGUACUUCCUUUCAAAUCAUCGAUGUUAAUAGAAAAAUUGAC